UACGAAGGGGGCUAGCGUUGCUCGGAAUCACUGGGCGUAAAGCGCACGUAGGCGGAUUGCUAAGUCAGGGGUGAAAUCCUGGAGCUCAACUCCAGAACUGCCUUUGAUACUGGCGACCUUGAGUCCGGGAGAGGUGAGUGGAACUGCGAGUGUAGAGGUGAAAUUCGUAGAUAUUCGCAAGAACACCAGUGGCGGAAGGCGGCUCACUGGCCCGGUACUGACGCUG
rnacentral:rRNA from 1 species